rnacentral:rRNA from 1 species
AUGAGGUUUAUUUAUGUUCCAGCACCACAUAAUGCAGAAGUGAUAGCUGAGCAGCUGCAUGAAUCAUUGGUUGAAUGGAAUCUUGAUGAAAAGCUCUUGACUGUGACCGUUGAUAAUUGCAACGCCAAUGACAAGGCAAUUGCGGAGAUUGUGGGGCGGAUUGGAAAAAGUAAGCUUCUUUGUGAAGGUACUUUACUUCACAUGCAUUGA